CGAUUUGUUGUGCUUAUCACUGUUGACAUUAAUUGCUACAAUUUAGAAAGAAAAAUGGAAUUGUCUUUAUUGCACUUACAAGAGUGGAUCCAUUCACUUCGCAACUCAACGAUUGAACACUUAGAGUCACCAGAGCUCCUCUUCCUGUGGUAGUAUUCACAGCAAUAUCGUGCGGUAUUUUGACUUGCUUUAACAAUUGUGAAGUAUUCAGAUCGAAGACAAGGAGUUGUGGAGGACAUACGGAUUGGACAUUAUUGAUGAGACCUGAAUCCAAGACCCAUAAUCUGUCACAUAUAUCGAUCUAAAUAUCGUUAAUAACAGUGUUAUCUGUAUAAUUUAUGAGGAUUAUUUGAUAAGCUAAGAAUUAAAAUGAUGCAAGUAUAAUCAAUAAAAAAUAGAAUUACAUUACAAGUUUGCAAUUUGUAUUAUUUUAAUUACCCGAUAUAGAUUGUCCUAAUAAAUUAUUGCUAAAAUAAGAUAAAUAUAAUUAAUUUAAUUUUAUAUUUUUAAUUUUAUAUUUUAUCCUUUAAUAAUAUAGAAUUAUUACUAACAAAAGUACAGAAAAUAAUUAAGACGUCUCAUGGAAUGAUGCAAGAGAAUCAUUAGCAGUGUCAUUUGCCGGAAGUGUGCUAUCCUCUCAAUCGCUAAAAAUGGCUGAAUUCAAAUUGUUUACGGCAUAGGAAAAGAAUAUGUGAUGUUACAGAAAUACGUCACGUUGUGCUUUGACUACUUUUAAUAGCCAAUGUAUGUAUUUGUUCGGCGAUUUUGCACGCAAAACGAGCGAAAGAAUUGAAAAAGAAUCAAUUUAGAUGUGAAAUCAAUGAAGUGUAUCCUUGUAUAAUUAAUUAAUAAUGUAAUUGUUCAAAAUGAUAAUCUUGAUAAAAUAUUUUGCAAAAGCAUCGAAAUUUACGAAAUAACCUCUAUUCUAAAUAAUUGUUAUAAAAUUAGAAAAAAUGUAAUUUUACAAGUAUCAUGUGAAAUUUAUAUUUUUUUCAAACUUGAUAUCUUAUUAUGAAGUAUUUCUUUCAAACUGUUUAUUUAACUUUUUAAUAUAUUACUUUACACUGCAUUC